rnacentral:tRNA from 1 species
UUGGCUAGCUCAGUGGAUAGAGCACCGAGCCAGGGACUCGGCGGUCGCAGGUUCGAAUCCUGCGCCAACUCCA